GAAAUCAAAGUUUUUGGGUUC
rnacentral:siRNA from 1 species